rnacentral:rRNA from 1 species
CGUCAAAUCAUCAUGCCCCUUAUGUCUUGGGCUACACACGUGCUACAAUGGGCGAAACAGAGUGAAGCAAAGCAGCGAUGCGGAGCAAAACACAAAAAAGCGUCCUCAGUUCGGAUUGUAGUCUGCAACUCGACUGCAUGAAGUUGGAAUCGCUAGUAAUCGCGAAUCAGCAUGUCGCGGUGAAUACGUUCCCGGGCCUU